rnacentral:rRNA from 1 species
AGGACGAACGCUGGCGGCGUGCUUAACACAUGCAAGUGGAGCGACGAACCAGGGCUUGCCCUGGGGCAGAGCCGCGAACGGGUGAGUAACACGUGGGUUACCUGCCUCGAUGACCGGGACAACCCGAGGAAACUCGGGCUAAUACCGGAUGUGCCCGCAAGGGGAAAGGAAGCUUCGGCCUCCGCAUCGAGAUGGGCCCGCGGCCCAUUAGCUUGUUGGUGAGGUAACGGCUCACCAAGGCUUCGAUGGGUAGCUGGUCUGAGAGGACGAUCAGCCACACUGGGACUGAGACACGGCCCAGACUCCUACGGGAGGCAGCAGUGGGGAAUCUUGCGCAAUGCGCGAAAGCGUGACGCAGCAACGCCGCGUGGGGGAAGAAGGCUUUCGGGUUGUAAACCCCUUUCAGUUGGGACGAAGCUUCUCCGGUGAAUAGCCGGACGGAGUGACGGUACCUUCACAAGAAGCACCGGCUAACUACGUGCCAGCAGCCG